CCCGCUGAACUUAAGCAUAUCAAUAAGCGGAGGAAAAGAAACUAACAAGGAUUCCCCUAGUAACUGCGAGUGAAGCGGGAAAAGCUCAAAUUUAAAAUCUGGCAGUUUUUGACUGUCCGAGUUGUAAUCUAGAGAAGUGUUACCUGUGCUGGACCAUGUACAAGUCUUCUGGAAUGGAGCAUCAUAGAGGGUGAGAAUCCCGUCUUUGACAUGGACUACCUGUACACUAUGGUGCGCUCUCAAAGAGUCGAGUUGUUUGGGAAUGCAGCUCAAAAUGGGUGGUAAAUGCCAUCUAAAGCUAAAUAUUGGCGAGAGACCGAUAGCGAACAAGUACCGUGAGGGAAAGAUGAAAAGAACUUUGGAAAGAGAGUUAAACAGUACGUGAAAUUGCUGAAAGGGAAACGCUUGAAGUCAGUCGCAUUGGCUAGAAAUCAGCUGUGCUUUUGCUCAGUGUACUUUCUGGUCGAUGGGUCAGCAUCAAUUUUGACCAUCGGAUAAAGUCUUUGGGAAUGUGGCAUCCUUUUGGAUGUGUUAUAGCCCAUUGUCGUAUACGGUGGUUGGGACUGAGGAACUCAGCACGCCGCAAGGCCGGGUUUGUUUUAACCACGUUCGUGCUUAGGAUGCUGGCAUAAUGGCUUUAAUCGACCCGUCUUGAAACACGG
rnacentral:rRNA from 1 species